ACGCACGCUGGCGGCGUGCCUCAUACAUGCAAGUUGAGCGCUGAAGGUUGGUACUUGUACCAACUGGAUGAGCAGCGAACGGGUGAGUAACGCGUGGGGAAUCUGCCUUUGAGCGGGGGACAACAUUUGGAAACGAAUGCUAAUACCGCAUAAAAACUUUAAACACAAGUUUUAAGUUUGAAAGAUGCAAUUGCAUCACUCAAAGAUGAUCCCGCGUUGUAUUAGCUAGUUGGUGAGGUAAAGGCUCACCAAGGCGAUGAUACAUAGCCGACCUGAGAGGGUGAUCGGCCACAUUGGGACUGAGACACGGCCCAAACUCCUACGGGAGGCAGCAGUAGGGAAUCUUCGGCAAUGGACGAAAGUCUGACCGAGCAACGCCGCGUGAGUGAAGAAGGUUUUCGGAUCGUAAAACUCUGUUGGUAGAGAAGAACGUUGGUGAGAGUGGAAAGCUCAUCAAGUGACGGUAACUACCCAGAAAGGGACGGCUAACUACGU
rnacentral:rRNA from 1 species